CACAUACUAAUAUCAUUCUAAGUCACUUCUCUCGAGACACUUUCCUACUCUUUUACCCUGUUGAAAUUUCAAUCUUAUCCUUAUACAAACUAAAGCUUAACUAUUUUCUCUCUCAUUUACCGUGGUCUUUGCAAUUCUGUAUCAGAUCUAUUUUUCUCUCUCCUCAGUUCCUCCCUUGCAGCCAUCUUCGUUCUGUGACGGUGAAAAGUCCCCUGGUGCUACUCUCAUCUCGACAUCGAUAUCGAGAUUGGGUUUCCCACAGUGUCAAAAGACAAUACCCUAAAAGGUCAAGGAUCCAAACAUUUGUCCCCAUGGGCGACAGUCAAUUGGAGUAUAAGCUCAAGCAGAGCAAAGAAAAGGUCAUUGACAUCGCUAGAAAUAUGGUUAAGUUCAUAAGAAACUUGGGUUGCCAGAAUGCCCAAUUUAGUCCAUAAGAUGCAAGAAGAUGGAGACAGAGUUCAUGUACGAAGAGGUCAGUGUUUCAUUCAUUUCCCGUUGGUCUGAGACUGCAUAUUUUUCCAUUCAUAUCAAAGCAAAUGUUUCUGGGUUCUGAAGAACAGCGAGUGUAAUACAACUGAGGAAGACUCGAUGUAUGUCCCCAUCCUUAGUUUGUCCACUCUUUUGUAUGUCUACUCUUCUAGCUCAGAGAUGUUCCAAAACAAGAAGAAAGUUGCUCUGUCAGAUCCAAAACAUCUUCAAUCAACCUGCUAUGUUUCCAGCUCAUCAGAAUUGGUACUUGAGAACCAGUAACAUGUUGCAGGUUGUAAAGGCCAUAUCUCUUAGCUGGGUUGUUCAAGAGUGCAAUUUGGUGGCGUGGGAGAUUGCAGUAAGCGUAACAAGGGACCAUAUAGAACCCAAUCAUACGUUCAAGACGUCUUUGGUUUCUUUUUUGCUCGUUAUGAGAGCAAGUUACGGGAUGCUCCUAUUGGAUGCAUUUUAUUUUCUUUCUUUUUCUUCUUGUUUGGUUACAUGCCUUUCAGGCCCAGAGCACUUAUAUUUGAAUUUCAAUGACAAAAAAAAAAAAGCUCAUGUGAAUUGUAACUUACCUAUAUCUGUUUUUCUUCUUUAAACAAAAGGUGUACAUGUGGAUAACAUCAUUCUGAUGUA